rnacentral:misc_RNA from 1 species
UCACCCCUCGGGCCCCGUGCUCGGUGUUGGACGGCCGGUUCGGGCGACCGAACCCCUCCUAAAGACAAUGACGGCGGCCUGUGGUUCCCCCGGCACAAUGAGCCUCUGGCACGUGUCGGACGAGGGCGCCCAGGACCCGGUCUUCUCCUCUCAGCAGGAAACUUCUCAAAAA